rnacentral:rRNA from 1 species
CCCUUAGAUGUUCGGGGCCGCACGCGCGCUACACUGAUGGGGUCAGCGUGUUUGCACGUCCUGGUCCGGCAGGAUUGGGCAAUCCGUUGAACCUCCGUCGUGAUUGGGAUCGGAGCUUGUAAUUAUUCUCCGUGAACGAGGAAUUCCCAGUAAGCGCAAGUCAUCAGCUUGCGUUGAUUACGUCCCUGCCCUUUGUACACACCGCCCGUCGCUACUACCGAUUGGAUGGCUUAGUGAGGGCCUCGGAUUGGUCUCGGCCCGCUCUUUACCGGGCGGCGCCGUUGGUCGAGAAGACGCUCGAACUUGAUCGUUUAGAGGAAGUAAAAGUCGUAACA